rnacentral:rRNA from 1 species
UACGAAGGGGGCUAGCGUUGCUCGGAAUUACUGGGCGUAAAGGGCGCGUAGGCGGGCAGUUUAGUCAGAAGUUAAAGCCCAGGGCUCAACCUUGGAAUCGCUUUUGAUACUGAUUGUCUUGAGUACGGGAGAGGUGUGUGGAACUCCGAGUGUAGAGGUGAAAUGCGUAGAUAUGCGGAAGAACACCAGUGGCGAAGGCGACACACUGGCCCGUUACUGACGCUGAGGCGCGAAAGCGUGGGGAGCAAACAGG